CAAUAGUGAUUUGUGUUGGGAUGUGUACUGUUUUCGAAUGGAUGAGUACGCAAUGUGUGUAAGUUUUCUUAGUAUUUUGUCAAAUGAUCAUCUCUAUGUUUGCAGAUGGAGUGGUUUAAUAAUUAUAAAAGAUCUCUUGCUACUUAUAUGAGGUCACUGGGAGGAGAUGAAGGUUUGGACAUUACACAGGAUGUGAAACCACCAAAAAGCCUAUAUAUUGAAGUCCGAUGUCUAAAAGACUAUGGAGAAUUUGAAGUUGAUGAUGGCACUUCAGUCCUAUUAAAAAAAAAUAGCCAGCACUUUUUACCUCGUUGGAAGUGUGAGCAGCUGAUCAGACAAGGAGUACUGGAGCACAUCCUGUCAUGAUCAUGCACUGAGGCACUCCUACCCAGGCGUCACCCAACUCAUGGAUGCCUCUGUACUCACUCUCUCCACCCUCCCUUCACCUCCCUCUUUGAUUUACAAGCUACAGACAUUGUUGAAGGUAACUAAGAAUACUUGGCUAAGAAGUAUAAUUUGCUAUUAAAGACUUUCUUCUUUUCUUCCUACU